GUUGUGUUCGUUUGAGCAGCUCGGAGUGAAUUUUAAUUAGUAGGGAGUCAGUCAGUCAGUACGGUCCCUUCAAGUUAAUUGUUUUCCAUGGUAAUGAAAGAAAAUUCUACGAGCAAGUCCAGGAGUGUAAUACGAGUAUGACUACAUACAUAUGUACAUACCUAGAGUCAAAGGGAAGACAAGGGAAACUUUUAAUUCCACCUUUGCCAACUAAAAGUUGGCUAGGCAAAUGAAAAGAUACCACCACAGCCAGGAACAAACUUUGAAAUGGUUUUUAUCGCGAACACGCGCUCACC
rnacentral:lncRNA from 1 species